GGGCUUCUUUUUUUAGCUGUAAAGGAUUCAGCUUCUGCUGCACCGUCUUUGUGACAGGACAGCAGGGUUUCCAAGCCAGAAGCAUUCAGGGAGUGGCGUGAAGGGCAUGGUCAUUUAGGGCCUGGAAGGUUUCCAUCAGAGAGCUCAGGUGAAGGCCUCAGCCCCUGGAGCCUGCCUCACCAGGAGGGAGCCCAGCAGGAAGAAAACGCUUUGGCCGUGCUGAGCAGAACUCAUUAGUGGUGGGGUCAAUCCUGAGGUUAAUGUAUAUUUGUUAGACUUUUUUGUUUCCUGGUGUCAUGUUUCCAUGCCUAAGCCCAGAGUCGCUCUGUAGACUUUGGCAUGGAUUUAGCAGCAUUCUCGCUGAAAGGUGAGGCCAGUCUGUGUAUGCAAGAAAACCUCUGAGGUCUGCCCUUAAAAAGACUACAACGUGAUUGUUCAGAUCAGACAAUCAGGCUUCAAGAAGGUACUGAAAGGAUGAAGCGUCCAUGCUAGUGUGGGUGCAAAUGUUUCACAAGAGACUCUUUAGGGGGAAAGGGCACCAUUGGAGGGUUUGCUGAUUUCUCUGAUGUAAAAAGUCCCCCUACGGCCAAGUUCAAGUUACCAACAUGACGGUCACGGAGUGUGGCAUGUGGAAGAGCUGCCAAGGACCAGCACACCACCGGCCAGGAGUCAGAACAGACACAGCGGGACUCACUCAGAGAAGCAGGAAGAAUUGGAACUCAGAGACCAGACGAGGCUGUUAGAGUAGAGGCUGGUGUGAGCUGUGCGCUGUGGAAGGCAUGAAGGCUGGGUGAGGGGACCUGUGCAGCCACUGUGGGGAUGGAGGCCCAGAAACAAAGGUGAUGAAUGUGUGAGAUGAUCAAACCUGCGGAAGUUACCGGAAUGGAUUCCCUUCAGAUAAUGGACAUUGGUUAGAGACCCAGAAAGGGAUCGCCCAGAUGGUUCUGCAGUGGUUGGGGACUCGGAGCAAGUGAGACAUACUUCUACGGCUUCUUGUUUGCACAGUAUCUCUGACAACGUCACUGUCGUGAGGAAGACUUAACCCUUCUCGAGUGCUUCGCACCUCAGGAGAGGGCAACUGGGCAAAGCAAACACAGAAGGACAUCCUGGGUCCUGCUUCAGGCUCCCAGUCCCCUGCACUCUCUCGCCUCUCGAUUGCAAGGGAUGGAGAAAGCGUUUGCAGGCUCCAGCACAGUGGAGCAAAUGGCUGGCCUUUGGAAAAACCUCCCUUUCAGACACUUGGAGCUAGCCUGCAGUCACGGCCACAAGGUUCCAGCCAGAGGAAAUAGAAAACUUGGCAGGCUUUCCAUGGGGCUUCUAGAUGGAACAGAAGAGCCUAAAACCCUGUUCUGUUGUUUGGACUUGGGACUCCCUGUGGCCAGGAGUCAGUCAGGGGCCAUGUGCUCAAGCCACCAAGCUACCUGGGACCACAGAGAUCGGGCUGGGAGAGGUACAUCCUGGAAAUCCUUAGGUUUUGAUUUAAAAACCUCCUCCUACAGGACACCUGCGGGGUGCCAGGCCCUGUGCUAGCAGCUUUGCAUAUAUUAUAUCUAAUCUUUCCAGCCACCUUGCAUGGUAGGUGUUAUUACCCUCAUUUUAGAAGUGAGGAAGCAGAGGUGCCAGCUAUGAUCUUCUGCGUGGCUCUUGGCCCUGCUAAUAGAGCACAGUUGGAAGAGUCCUAGUUUCGUGAAGUAUCUGAAAUGGAAGGAACAUUAGAGGUCAUGUCUGCCUUGUGAGGAUAAUGAUGAAAAGAGAUCCAAAGCCAGAAAUGUAAAUUAAUCUGCUCAAGGACACACAGCAGAGCUGACACCUUCACAUCCAUCUCUUCUUUCCCAUGUAAUAGCAGGAGAACAGAGAGAUGUAGUUGCCACCUGGGAUGAAUGGAACAAGUGUCAAGGCCUGCUCUGUCUCUGUCUCUAAGCGAUGAUCACCACAGGCAUGGCAGUUUUCAAAGGUCUUCUCACUUGAUCUGGUCGACAUGUCUUAAAAAUGAGAGAAGGGGAAGCUUUGCCGUUCUGGGAGGAUGAAGUAAGCUGCCGAUGAAAAAAAGUGCACAUCCACGUCUGUAAAAUGUUUUCAGCCUCUCACGAUAAAAGUGGCGGAGGCGAGUCAACGAUUUUAGAAUUUUCUUUUUUCCUUCAUCUCGUAAACUUAGGUGUCACACACUGCUAAGUCUUUGCUUCCACAGGGUGGCAAAUUUGCUUCUCUCUCUCUUUGGUUUGCUCCAAAUUGCUUGGGGUUCCAUCAGAAAGCUCUUCUAGGAAUGUCCCUGCAUUAUCUCAUGAAGUCUCUAGGGAGUGUAUAGUCUACAGUCAGCGCCAUAACAUAAACACCAGUCUCCUUGAGCCACAUGUGGGAUUGCCCAGACUCUGGCAUCUUGGAACUCAGAAAUGGUGCAUGUACUGGGGUCUGGCCGCAGCACCAUGUACAGCAUAGUUAAGAAGCACUAGGGCUGAGAGGGAACGGGGAAGCUGUGAUAGGGUCAUUUGCAAGGGCAUGGAAUAAGUAGUUUAGAUGAUUGGUUCUAUUUUUCACUUUGCAUAUUCUGUAAGAGUCAGUUUUAUUUAUCUGUUAAGUGAAUAUAAUAACGGAUAAACCUGCUUCUAAACGGAAUGAGAUACAAAAUCUACACACGUUCAAGAGUCUGUCUGAGCCGGCCUUAGCUAUGCUCCCUAUGCUUCAGCCACUGGAGGGCUUGCUGAUCCCUGAAUGUGUCAUGACAGUGCCCAUGGGAAAUAAGAGUAAUACCUUCUUCAGUUUGCUAUCUAUGAUUUACCCUCUAGUCAAAAAGGAUUUGACACUUUGGAGUUAAACUUUCACGUACAUUUUCCCAUUUAGCCCUCAAAAGGACCCUGUGAAAGAGAUCUUUCUUCCCAUUUUGCAGAUGCCAAAUCCAGGCACAGACAGGUGAAACACUAAGCUCAAGGUCACAUAUAUGUUAGAUGCAGGAACAAUGGGUCUCCUGAGUUCCAACCCAGAAUUCUUUCCUCUGUAUUGCAUGGGACAAGGGCUUAAUUCUCCCAGAUUUGGAGUAUAUGUUUGGCCACUAAUGCUUUCCUUCAAGAUGGGAAAAACACCUGGCUGUUGCUUUUCUACACCACAGUAAUGACCACAUACCUCAUGUGCACACAGGCUUCCCUGCCUUGAUUCAUCCUGUCCCCUCUGCUGGGAAUGCCUUCCUCUCCCCUUCUCCGAAUGACCAACUCCUCCUAAUUCCUUUUAAGGCCACAUGCUAUCUGAUUAAUUUCCUUUUUUAUGUCCCACGGUGCUUUUCAUGUCUUCACUACAGCAAGUCAGUGGGCAGUAAGCCAUAGCCAGGUGUGUCUCAUGGAGUCACAGGGGGGACAGAACCCAGUGACCAAGUAGAGGGAAAGCUUGUUCAGAUGCAGGAUCAAGUCUUCAUUUUUAUAUUUUCAUAGUGGAUAUUUGGCAGAUAAUUGACCAGAAGUUGCUCAGAGCCUGAAAAUCAGCCUGCUUCUAGAAAGAAACAAAAUGGCAGGAGAGAAGUAAUGUAGUAAAUAUGGAAACCAGGAUCUCAGCCCUCACAUUGCAAACUGAAUUUCUUGAGGCUACAGAUAACUUCCUGGAGUGCCUGCGCAUUUCAGAUGGUUAGGCACACUUUGGAGGGACUCUUGGAAUUUUUUGGGAGAUGGGUCUACCAGUAGUUCCUGUUUCGAGUGAGCCUUAGCUCCCUCAACCAAUGCCUUAAGAGCUGACUGCUGGCGUGCCAUGUUCUGUUGCCUUAGCCUGAAUUUUUCCUUCUAAGUGUCAAAAACAACAAUAGAUGGAGAAAAUGAAUUGAGUGUGUGUGUGUGUGUGUGUGUGUGUGUGUGUGUUGGGGGUGGGGAGCAAUCCAGGAGUCCCAGAAUAACCUCCAGUUUGGUAAUAAUUUAUCUUAUUUCAUUGUUAAUUUUGCAAUUAAGCAGGCGUACUUUAUAUGCCCGAAUGACCCAUGGAUUGUAUCUUAAUCAAAUUAAUGUGUCUAACAUAAGACUGAUUCAGUGUUCAACUGUGAGACUGACAAAUGACGCAAAGCCCAAGUUUUCUCUUUCCUUUCUCUCUCCUCUCCCCGCAAAACCCUCCAUCACGAAAGGUCAACUGACUGAAAAGCUGUUGUUUUGAUGGCUGCCAUGAGAUCCUAUUGGUUAAAAAUGUGAGAAGGCUGGGUACCUCCCCCCACCCCACUUCAAACCAACUGUAUGUGUGUGUGAUAGUGUGUGUGUAAGUUUGGAUGAAAAAAAAUUGUGGUUAAUUCUUCUUGUUGUGUACUUCCUGCCACUGACAUUUGUUGCUGCUGCUGUGUAAUGUAGUUGAGGCUGAGUAGGAGAAUGAGAUGCAAAUGAACUAUAGAUGUAUUCCUUAAUUAUGGCUACCCUCCUCAAUCUCUAUUCUUGGAAAAUUUGAAAAGUAGAAAAAGGUGACCAGGGAAGCCAGCUAGUUGUUGCAUUGCCCUGAAGCAACCCCUUUAGAUCAUUUUAGUUGAUAAGUAAUUUGAAAAAAGUAUGAUUCUGUUUAAUAAAAUGAUAUCUAUAUUUUGAGACUAUAAAUAAUAAAUAAUGGUUUCUUAAAGAAGACUUUGGGUAAAGGUCUAAGACUUAUGUUUUCCUGGGCUUAAUUUAUCAGCACUUAGAGGGACUUCAGCAAUAGUUUCUCAUCCUCAUCUGAUCCAUUUGCCAGGAUUAGUGAGAUAUUUCUUAACUCUAAUCAGGUCACAUCUCUUCCCUGUUUAAAACCUUUCAAUGGCUUCCAAUUGCACUAAGUUCAAAGUGCUUGCCAUGGUUUAUGAGACCUAUAUAAUAUGCUCCCUUCUUGCCCUCUGACCUUCUCUCUCUCCCCUCCCCCUUACUACACUGGCCACUUGCUUUCCAGCCUCAGGACCUUUGCAAAGGCUAUUUCUGCAUUUUGCCCCUCUGCUCCCAUCCUGGCUCAUAGAGUAAUGGUCACCUGUACAGUCAGGCCUUUCCUGACCCACCGAUGAAAACUAUGCCAUUCUUUCUAUUAUGUCUCUUCACACUUCCCUAUGCUUUCCCUUUCAUGAAUAUGUGAUAAUUUGUAAUUUUAUAUUUAUUUUUCUACUAAAGUUUUGUUUAAUGACUGUUUACUCACUACUCUAUAAGCUUUAUGUCUGCUUGAUUUGCCACUGUACGCAGUUCUGGGCAUAUAGUAGGAGCUUAAUUAAUAUUUAUUGAAAGAAAGAAUGGGCAAUGCAUUGACUUUCAUAAUACUUGAGAUUCCUUAGCCACAGAAUGGGAAUAGUCAUCUUUAUUCAAUAGCUAGCUAUGGAAUUCAACUUGACAUUUGUUUUACACAGAACUUUGAGAUGUUAGGAUAUUGGUUGGCCAUGGAAGGAAUGUGAGACCAGGAGUUUUGUUUUUUGUUUUUCCCCUCCAUUCAGAGUUCAGUGGCUUGCGUACUAGGGAUUAGACACAGCCCCUGUUCUUCCUCCCAUGCCAGGCCAGGGUAGCUGCAUCUCUGCUGCAUCUUCCUUCUUUUAGCCCCUCCAGUCAUUGUCUCUGCUUUUAACCAGCCUGGGAAAUCAUAGGGAAUACAUAUAUCAACAAUUCAAGGUUCACUCCUCACAAUUCUCCCUUUAUUUAGGAAUUUAUUGUUGCCUAAAUAAUCUUGGAGACUUUAAAAGAGAUGUUGAAACAGUCUAGGCCAGAGCCUAAAGUUUUUUCAGGUAUGUUCCUACCAAACCCAUGGCUCUGAUUCCUUUUCAGUCCAAAAAUUUCUUCCAGAGUGGAUACAGAAAUCUGAAAGAAGGUGAUAACACAAGGAGUCAUGUCUUCCAGAAAACCAGUGAAUAUCUCUGAACUUUGAUUUAUCUAUGAAAUGUGGCUAAAACCAUCAAUCUGAAGGUGCAUUUAAGACUAAAUUAAAUCACAUAUGUAAUAGUAUUUUUACAGUAUCUGAUACUCAAUGCUCAGUCAAAGUCCACUUAUUAUUUAUCUACCACUUUCACUUCUCCCUACCCUUCUUUGGUCACUCCAGAUGCUACUCUGAGAUUCCUUUAGCCCAGGAUGGGAAAGAGUAUCAUGACAGUUGGCCCACCUGUUCAUCAAGAAAGUGGGAAAGUGUGUUGUGUUUAGUCGAUGAAUCAUUGAGGAGCAUUGACCUCACAUAGGAUUUUCCAUCUCAGCUCUGUGUAUGUGCUGGAUUUCAGCCUCUAGAAUUCCAGUAUGCGGAGGGGUUUUAAUGUUAUCUUAAAGUAGUAGGGUCCCUACCCCCCAAGAAGCUAAGUGGAUGAGGGAUGUGGAGAGAUACUUAUAGAAGACUGAUGCUCUGCCUUGGACAGUAUGAUGCCUGCCUGGGAGAAGUGACCAGGCUGGCAACAUCUGAAAAAGGGUUCUGCUAGAUUCUCAGGCUGGGAGAUAACUUACUACUCUGUGCCAGAUUCCUCUUCUGAGAUUUCUACUCCUUGAAAGGUGCCAGCCUAGAAUCGAAGAGUUGACUAAUUUGAGUUGGUGGAUCUGAGUUCAUGUGCCAGCUCUGCCAUUUACAGAAUUGUGACCACAGCCUGUGGCUUCAACUCCUAUGCCACAGUUUUCAUAUUGGUGAGUGGAGGAAGAUGGUGUGUACCUCAUGGAACUAUUAGGAGAGAGCAUGGAAGGCAUUGAAGAGUGCCUGGCACUUGGCCAACAGUCAAGGCUAGUUGGCUCCAUUCCUCGACCUGCCUCCCAUAUUCCUCUGUGUUCUUUGCUAUGGAAGGAGCCUGACAAGCAUCAAGGACUAUGAGGAAGAUGAAAGAGAAAACUUCAGGAGAGCUCACAGAAGGAGUUACCAACUCAUUUCCGGGUGUCUAAGAGGGCCAUACAUCAGAGAUGACAUUUGAGCCAAAUCUGGGAAGAAAAUAAUUUUCCAGAGACACAGAAGUGCUUACCUAUGAGAAGGUAACGACAUGUUCAAAGACCCAGAGGUGAGAAGAGCACAGUGUGAUAUGGGACUCAGUGGUAGCUGGAAUUUAGGGUGUGUCUCUGUCUACCUGAGUUUGUAGGGUGGAGUCAACAGGCAAAACCAGAAGGUGGGGAAGGGGGGUGCUGGAUCAAGAAGAGCUUUGUAUGCCAGACUCAGGAGUUUGGACUGUUUCCUAUAGGAUCUGGGAAAGCAUUGAAGGAUGUUAAGCAGGGUGAUAAGAUUCAAAGUAAGGCUUAAGCAUAUUGUUCUGCAGACAGUCUGGAAAAUGGAUUGGAGAUAAGGAGAUAGCUGGAAGAUGCCAGAAAGAGUCAUGAUGGACGAUGAUGAGGGCCUGACCAGUUCCAGCUGAAGUGGGGAUGGGCAGGAGGAAAUGGAUGUGAGAAAUUCAGGACCUGGCAGGAACAUGAGUACCGGAGCAAUGGGUAGCGCUUGCAUGAGUGCCCCACUAUGAUGAGACAGUGGACUUUCAGAGAUCAGUACCAUGAGAUGCUCCAACCAUAGCAGCUUGGUUCCCGGUUCACCUCAGGACAAUGCAAACUGAGCUAUGCAUUUACUGUAAUUCUAAUCAGAUGACUCUAUAAUUGGAAGAACACCAGUGGCAUUCUGUCUUUGGAGUCUUCUCCAUUAGGCUACUGAACGAGGGCCAGGGGACCUUUGCUUGUCCCAAAUGCGGUCCUGAUAGAGACUUUGGGAUCUGGGUACUAUGUUCCAUUGUGUAAUAGGAUCAUGUUCUUUCUCCUCUUUUGGGAGUUUAUUUCUGCUUGAAGAAGACCUGCCCAGGACUGGAUAUGCCUACAACUUCACAAUAUUCUUAUAUUGAACUUUUCUGAAUUUCCCUGACUGGUUGUCUUAUUGGCCCCAGGACAUUUAAAAGUUCUUUCACGUCUUCUGGAUUCAGCCAUUUAAUUGAAGAGAUAGGCCUGAUCGAAGAUGUGUUCCCAAAUACAUCUCAUCAAUCUCAUUUAUAAAUUACCUUUUACAUUGGAUUAAUAAAAUGCUGUAAAAUCUCA